rnacentral:misc_RNA from 1 species
ACAAACUUGGUCAUUUAGAGGAAGUAAAAGUCGUAACAAGGUAACCGUAGGUGAACCUGCGGUUGGAUCAUUACUGAAGGUAAGGGGUGUGAACGGUCGUUCAACCUACUCCUGUGUGAACUGUUAUUACUUAUUUUGGUGGCCCACAAAACAUGUUGGAGCGUCUUUUUGUGGUUACUCACUAGGCUGAUGAGGUUUUGUGAAUAGCCGUGUAAGGACGCGACUUCGGGCCACCUAACUGCGUUAAAUUCCUUGUUUGAUGUAUUUUUUGUCUAUUUGUAAUUCGCGAAAGUGAAUGCCCAAUAAAACAAAAACAACUUUUGACAAUGGAUCUCUUGGCUCUUGCAUCGAUGAAGAACGCAGC